rnacentral:rRNA from 1 species
GGCCUACCAUGGUGGUAACGGGUAACGGGGAAUUAGGGUUCGAUUCCGGAGAGGGAGCCUGAGAAACGGCUACCACAUCCAAGGAAGGCAGCAGGCGCGCAAAUUACCCAAUCCCGACACGGGGAGGUAGUGACAAUAAAUAACAAUACGGGGCUCUUUCGGGUCUCGUAAUUGGAAUGAGUACAGUUUAAAUCCCUUAACGAGGAACAAUUGGAGGGCAAGUCUGGUGCCUGCAGCCGCGGUAAUUCCAGCUCCAAUAGCGUAUAUUAAAGUUGUUGCAGUUAAAAAGCUCGUAGUUGAAUUUCGGGAUUGACACAUCGGUCGUGCCUUAAGGGGUAUGAACUGGUGUAGUCAAUUUCUCACCUUCUGGAGAACCACGAUGCCCUUAAUUGGGUGUCGCGAGGAACUAGGACCUUUACUUUGAAAAAAUUAGAGUGUUUAAAGCAGGCAUUUUGCUUGAAUACAUUAGCAUGGAAUAAUAAAAUAGGACGGCAUGAUUCUAUUUUGUUGGUUUCUAGGAUCACCGUAAUGAUUAAUAGGGAUAGUUGGGGGCAUUAGUAUUCAAUUGUCAGAGGUGAAAUUCUUGGAUUUAUUGAAGACUAACUACUGCGAAAGCAUUUGCCAAGGAUGUUUUCAUUAAUCAAGAACGAAAGUUAGGGGAUCGAAGACGAUCAGAUACCGUCGUAGUCUUAACCAUAAACUAUGCCGACUAGGAAUCAGACGAUGUUAAUUUUUUAAUGACUCGUUUGGCACCUUUACG